rnacentral:rRNA from 1 species
UACGUAGGGGGCGAGCGUUGUCCGAAUUUACUGGGCGUAAAGCGCGCGUAGGCGGACUAUUAAGUUGGUGGUGAAAUCCCAGGGCUCAACCCUGGAACUGCCUCCAAAACUGAUAGUCUUGAGGUACGGAGAGGAAACUGGAAUUCCUGGUGUAGCGGUGAAAUGCGUAGAUAUCAGGAGGAACACCAAUGGCGAAGGCAGGUUUCUGGUCGUAUCCUGACGCUGAGGUGCGAAAGCCAGGGGAG